rnacentral:lncRNA from 1 species
GGGAGAGAACAGGAGAGGAGAAUCAGAGCUUUCUCUGGCUGCUUUUGGCCGGCUGGAGGGGUGGAGGAACCUUCAGCCGUGGUGCUAGGUGCAGGAUGAGCCAAACAGACUUGAUUCCUGAAGCCUUGAAGCAGAAGCAAGUCUAGGAGGGGAAGUAGACACAAAUCAAAUAAUUGUGCACAUCCAUGUGUGACGAUAAACUAUGCUGAGAGCCAUGCAAGAAAGGAGCACAGGGCUUUGAUAGCCCGGGACAGAGGAACUGGACCCAGUCUGAGAGAGACAAAGUAACUGAGGCCCUGCGAGGAGAGAAGGCCUGUGAAGGACAAUGAUACUCACUGCUGUGGUGGAAGCCAGGCAGGCCCCUUCUGACCCCUGCUGUGCUCCAGCCGGCACACCCGACUUCCCUCUGAGGAAUCUGGGCGUCCCUCAGUGGACGCAGUAAAAAGCUUCUCCAAGUCGACGUAGAACCUGGACCAGCACAGGCAAAGGCACCGCCAACCAUUCUGAAAGUUCUGACAUAACUCCCAGGCCUCAGGCUGCCAAGGCAAGUUUUCUGUCUUCAGAUGAAUAAGCUGCUGUCUCCACUGUUGUGGAGGAUGAUACUCACACUUAAGGGGCCAUAUUUCUACCCUGUUGAUUAGAGGACAGGGAAGGGGAGCUGAGAGAUAAACACAACUAAGCAAUGCAACACCCUCUUUCCCUCCCCUUUCCCUCCAGUAACCCUGCUGGUUGUGGCUGCGGCUAUAAGAGUAUUGGCUGUGACUUUCACUGAUGCCCUUAGGGACACCUGCUGAUAUGAGAGUCUGAAGCUCUGUGGUCAGACAGGCUUGGGUUCCAAACCAGGUCCUGACACACAAGAGCCUCAGCUGCCCCAUCUAUAAAGUGGGAAUAAUAGCCCUGCCAUCUGCUUCUCAGAGUUGUUGGGAGAAUCAACCAGAGUUGCAAUAAACACAAAGCAAGUGGUACUGUGUCUGGCAAAGUGGGAAAAUUUAAUGAAUUAAGGCAGGUAGAAGACCUAGCACUGGUCCUGGCACAUCUGGGGAGUUCAUUAAUUGUGAGUUCCUCCUUCCUCUCCUUUCCCAGGCUGGACCCUGAACCUCGGUAAUCAGGAAAAGAACCUGGGGGCCUUCUGUCUCCCCCACACCCCUUUUUAACAUUUUGAAACAGAAUAUAACAUAAAAUUAACCAUUUUAAAGCAUAAGUUGAGUGGCAUUUAAUGCCUUCACAAUAUUGUGCAACCACCAUCUAUAUCAAGUUCCAAACAUUUUUUGUCGCCUCAAAAGGAAACCCUUUGCUCCUUAGCAGUCACUCCUAUUCCUCCACACCACCCCCAAGACCCUGGCAAUAACCGGUCUGCUUUUUGUUUCUGUGGAUUUACCUAUUCUGGAUAUUUCAUAUAAAUAGAAUCUUACCAUAUGUGACCAUUUGUGUCUGGCUUCUUCACUUGGCAUAAUGUUUUCAAGGUUCACCCCCCUUGUAGCACGUAUCUGUAUUUCAUUCCUUCUGAUGACCGAAUAAUAUUCCAUUGUAUGGAUAUGCCACAUUCUGUUUGUCUGUUCAAACACUGAUGGACAUUUUGGUUGUUCCCAUCUCUCAUUAUUGCAAAUAGUGCUGCUAUAAACAUUUAUGUAC